CAAGUUGACAUUUUUGUGUUCCUUAAGCCCAGUCAUGAAGGGCCCUCGUGACUGGGCCUCAUGCCAAACAACUUGUUACAAAAAGAGCUAGGGUCCCAGACUGCGCCGAAGCUUCAUGAGACCGAUCCUCGUCUGUGGACAGAGGAGUAGCUGACUCUGAAGCCCAGGCUGUUGCUAUCCAGUCUGGUGGUGAAUCCUCCACAGUCUGUUUAGAGCAAUUGGACGAAGUAUAUUUUUGUGAGCAAAUUUACCUUUCUCUCUGAAUUCUCCAAAAUUCAGAAACCAACAUUCUACUUCAAAACAGAAGAGUAUGCAUUGUUUCCAGAUGCAAAUGGAAUAUUCAUUAAGAUGUCUGUAUGAUUUAAUUAGUUUAAAAGGAAUAAAAUCAUCUGGCUUUGUUAUUCCUAUGGAAUAUAAUCAGAAAUAAGAAAAAUAGACAUCUAUAAAAUUCCUAACAUUGGAAACUUGAAACCACAUUUUUAGGAGUGACUUCCACUUUUGGGAAGAUGGAGUAGAAAUACUUUUUCCUAUUCCUCUCACUAAUCAUAGCUAAAACCUUGUACAUUAUACAUAAAAUAAAUGUAAAAAGACCCUAUAUAGGUGUAAAGAAGACAGUAGACCAGUGAGGGACCUCAGGAACAAAAAACAACACAAUGAUAGUUUCUUCGGCUUGGUUUUUGUCUCAUAUAUACUAGACUUGGAGCUGAAAAAGCUGCCUGAAAAUGCCAAUGGGCACAGAAAAAAUCCUCCAGAAAAUGGCUCUUUUCUCUAGCCAAAGAACUAGUAGAAAAGCAGCCUAGCUAGAGAGAAAACUUUUACAUAAUAACCACUCUACUCCAGGCAAACGCCAAAAAACAAAUCAAGAAAACAACAUCCACAAAAAUUGUGUCUGAGUCAGAAAAGACUGACCUGGAAAUCUUGAUUUUCACCGUCACAAGUUUGUUAAAAGAUAUCUGCUGGUCCUGAUGGUAAUGGUAGAGAAAGUCAAAUAGAAAAUUGAUACAUCACCAUCAGCCUGUAACAAGUCCUCUGUCCAGCAAUGUCAGUGAAAACCACAUGAAGAACAUGGGCUUUCACCUCACCCAUCGGUAAUGUAGUGCCCUUCAUCCUUGAUGCCUGGGUGGCGUCAGAGAAAGCCUACUGGAGAAUCAGGAAUUUCACCAUUACCCAGUGAUAACAAAGCCACUCUCACCAUAAUGUCGGUAGAUGUCAUGUGAGGCACCAACACAUCAGCACUCACCUAGUGGUAUCAAAAGACCACUCCCCUUGGGUUUCAAUGAAGGAUGAGUAAGUAACCUGGACUUGUAUUUAUAACCAGCUGCUUUUCUUCCUCUGCUGGAGCAGUGUCACAGAAAGCCAGUUAAAACAGAAAGUUUAAAGAAAAUUUAGUGUCCCAAAAAAUAACAUAAAAAUGUCAGGUCUUCAAUAAUAAAUCACUUAUCAUACCAAGAAGUAGGAAGAUAUCAAACUUGAUUAAAAAGGUGAGCAAUAGAUGCCAACAAUGAGAUGACAGAGAUGUUUAUAUAAUCUAAAAAUAUUUUAAAGCAGUUAUAAUAAUUAUGCUUCAGUAAGCAAUUACAAACGAAUAUCCUUAAAAAACAAAAGGAUGUGUCAACAAAGAGUUGAAACAUCUUAGCAGAGAAAUAGAACAUAUCAAGAGGAGCAAAAUGGAAUUUUAGAAUUAAAACAUUCAAUUACAAAAAUAUGAAGUUCAGUGGAUGGGUUCAAUAUAGAAUAGAGGGGAGAAAAAAAUGAAUGAAAGACUAUAGGUAGAAAUUAUACAAUCUGCAAAACUGAGAAAAUUAGACACAAAUUCUCCAGCAACCUGUGAAAAUAUAGCCAUGUAUCACUUAACAAUGAGGAUAUAUUCUGAGAAAUACAUCCUCGGGUGAUUUUGUCAUUGUGCAAACACCAUAGAGUAUAUUAUACACAAAUCUCAGUGGUAUAACCUACAAAGCCUAUUGCUCCUAGGCUAAACUCGUACAACAUGUAAUACUGUAGGCAACUAUAACAAAAUGGUAAGUAUUUGUUUAUCUAAACUUAUCUAAACAUAGAAAUGGUACAGUUAAAUCAUGCUAUUAUGAUCUUAUGGGACUACCACAAUAUAUACAACCCAUCAUUGACCAAAAUAUUAUGUAGCAAACGAUCAUAUAGUGAAAUAUCUACAUUUUCUGUCGUCAAAGCACUGGAAUAAGAAAAAAGACUGGGGUAAAAAAUUACCUGAAGUAAUAAUAGGGGGAUACUUCCCCAAAUUUGGCAAAAAACCAUAAAAGAUAUAAAUUCAAGAAGCUGAAUGAACACCAAACAGAAUAAGACUAAAUACAUCUAUGUCACUAUGAUACAUCUUCAUUAUAUUUUAGAAACUAUAGGAAAAAAACUAUUAUAAUGACAGAAAUUUUUCUUCACAAACAAUGGAGGCCAGGAAAGCUCAUAAUCCUAUAGACAGUGAAAAUGGCCUUCAAGAAUGAAAGAAAAAUCAAGACGUUCUCACAGGAGUGAGAACUAAGAAAAUUUGCUACCAGAAAAUGUAUUGUAAGGGACAGUAGGGGCAGAAUAAGUGGGGAUUCUUAAUUGGUAUAAAAAAUAUAGUUAGAGGGAAUAAGAUCUAGUGUUUAGUAGCACAAUAGAAUGACUAUGUUAAUAAGAACUUACAGUAUAUUUCAAAAUAACUAAACAAGUGAAACUUUAUAUUAACAUGUAUCUAGUUAUAUAUAUAUAUAGUAUAUUUCAAAAUAACUGAACAAGUGAAACUGUUAAUAUUAACAUAUAUCUAGUAAGAGUAAGAAACUGGAAUGUUUCUAACAAAAAGUCCUUAAGUAAUGGAUAUCCCAAUUACCAUGAUUUGAUUAUUACACAUUGCAUGCUUGGAUCAAAAUUUCACUUUUACCCCAUAAAUAUGUACAGCUGUUAUGUAUCUAUAAAAAUUGAAAAUUAAAAAAAUAACUAAAUAAAAGUGAAAAAAUUAUUUAAAAAAUAAAGCAAAAAAUGAAGAAACAAAUAAAAAAAUCAGCUAAUACGAAACACUCUUCUUCUCUUGCGUUGUCUAGAUUAUUGUUGACAUUGAGUCAAAAAUUAUAUCACUGAUUUAUUUUGUUCUUAUUAUAUGUAGAGGAAGUCUUUAAGACAGUUAUAGCAGGGAGCAGUUACAAUGUAAACAGAGGUGGUGCCUUGACAUUAUUGGUUCACCAACAGAGCAGAACUGCCUCAGCCAUCAAUAAUAAUUCAACGCAUCAGGAUGAGGCCUACGCAUGGGCCACAGAGGAUAUGUAAUGACUUAAGAUACCAACUCCACAUUCUGUGGUAAGAGAUGAAGAUCCAGGAAAUGUAUGGACACCUAUAGCCUGAAGAAUAUUGUCAGAAAAAAACACUGGGAUCUGGAAGCGAAAAGGAAACAUAGAAAACGAGACAGGAAGGUGAAGAAAGUUGAAGAUAAACUUUCUUUUUCACAAUGUUUUUAUGGACAAGUUCAGCCCAUAAAUCAAAAAUUACCUUUAUGGAUGAAAUAUUAGUUAAGUCAAGAUCAUCUUUUUCAUUUCCUACAUGCAGGUUGAAUCUCAUUUAUGGAGUGAGAUGUCAAAUAACAACAAAAAAUGCACUUAAUUUGCAUAAAGAUGCUUGUAAGGUAACAUUGCUCCACACUUUGCUUUAUUCACAUCAUUAGAGGAAAUAUCUUAUUCCUCUAGCUGUUUCUGGCCAUGGCUCAAGGAAUUAAAAACUUCCAUUCAUUCCUUCAGACAGUACAGUUAACAAGAGGAUAACUUUUUUUAUUAUCUCUGUCCUUCUCCCUCAGGAAGCAGAGAAUUAUCAGAUUGGUGAGAGAAAGGAAAUAAAGGUCUGAACAUGUGUCUCAAGUCACCUCUUUUGGGAGCACUCUGUUCUCAGUUUAUUUUAAUUCUGUUUCUCAAUUUAAUGAGUUUACUAGAGCAGGGUCCACUAUUACCCUGUGGAGAUCCUUAAUGAUACAUGGAUAUGUUUAAUUCUGGGAAUAAAGUAGUUAAACUGGCUAGUGAUUAUGCCACAUUGUUAGAGUCAUCUUUGUCAAUAAGAAAGUUGUUCAUAUUUAUGACAUCUGUAUCCAUUUCUUCAGAAGUGUGACUAUUAUUCAUAUAUCCCCAAUACACACAAAAUAUAUAGUUUUAACUAAAUUUUUAAUCUGUUACAUAUUUUUCUAGGUUACUAGCUAGAGACAUCCUGGUUGUUUCCAAUUUGUUGUAAACUGGAAAUUUGAUGCUAAACAAGUAGUGUUAUGACAAGCCUUCUUAUUCAUAACUUGACAUGCUUUUGCCAGUAUAUUUUAGAUGAAAUUUUGAGAUUAUGGUGGAGUCAAAUCAUAUGAACACUUUAAAUUUUGCUCCGUUAUUACCACAUUCCUGUGCAAAAGUGACACCAAUUUACAAUGCCAUAUUGUAUAGACGUGUUUCAUGGUACCUUAAAACAAUUACAAUGUUAAUAACAAAGAUAAGUAAUCACAGAGCACUAUGUCAGAUAUAAUACUAAUUUAAAAAGUUUGAAAUAUAAUGACAAUUAACAAAAUGUGACUAGGAGGCUCAAAGUGAGCACAUGCUGUUGGUAAAAUGAUGCUAACAGACUUGCUUAAUGUAGGGUUGCCACAAACAGAAGUAAAAAGUGCUUAUUUGCCGACAACCUUGCCAAAUAUUGACUCUAUAAAAUGGUUUAAAAUUAUUUAUAUUACAGAUACUUUGCUUUGCUAUUUCUAAUUCUCUUAUUUUGUAAACAGUGUUAUUUUAGCCACAUAUGUAUUUCUUUCGCUCUGGAUUUCUCAUUUCAUUUUAAUUUUGUGUGUAUGUCCUUGAUGGAUUCUUUGAAUUUUUGUUUUCAUUGCAUCUUUCUGUAUAAUUAUUCCUGGGAUAUUGUGUCAUUUUUAAAAAUUGCAUUUCGUAGGAUGGAUUCCUAAUACUUUCUUUGCAUGUGCUUUUAUGUUAUUUUAUUUCCUUGUCUUAUUACUAAAAAGUGAUUUUAUACUUGCCAUGAUUUUCAGGUUUCCCAGCUUAAGAUGGACAGUUCUUACACUUUGAUGUAGCAUGGGCAAAUUUGUCUCUACUUUUUCACAUCAAGCUAUAGUUUAAGCAUUGAGUUUUGAAAUGUGCCCACUUUUUCCCUAGCCUGAGUGUGUAGAGAAUAAGCAGAUGAGCUCAAUUGGUGUGCAAUUUAGGUAAAAGACCUGGACUCUUUCUCUUGCCUAAAAUUUUAUUAAGUAUCUAAUCCCAUAGCUUGCUCUCUUUCCAGGAGGCAGUUUUACUGCCGCCAGGGAAAUAGCCUUGCUUUCAAAUCUCUUCCUUAAUUCAGCGCAGAGCCACCAAGGCUUUGCUUGUAUCAAUGAGCCAUCUCAUGUACCUUCAUCCCCCAUUUCACCAGUCUUUUCCUGGCACUUUCUCCCUCUAUUCCUCACUCUAAGACUGAGUGGGGAAUCAAUAUUUGGCUGUAAAGGAGUAUAUGGUGUCUUACCUUGUGUGCUGAAACAAUGUAUUUACUCAAAGUGUUAUGGAUUUUCUUUUUUCUCUACAUUAUGCCAAGACAUAAAUUCUGAGAGUGUUUAUGAUGGUGCCUCUUUUCCCCUCUGCUUUCUUUCCAAGUUAGAGACAUCAAAAUAAUAAGCCUUAACCAUUUUCCUGUUUUUAAAAGAAAUAGUUAAUUUUUAUGGGAAUUAUUAGGUGUCUCCCGGGCUACUCAUGUAAAUCCUCAUUUUAUCUGUUUUUAAAUUGAGUUAUUCAUGAGAUGCUUUCUGCAUUUUGUUUUUUAGGAAAUUUUAGGAAACAAAGAUAAAUGUCAUAUGGUCUUUCAAAUGUCAUAUGGUCUCUCAAAUAUCAUAUGGUCUCACAUCCCCUCCAAACUAUUUUAAAUAUGGCCUGACUUUGGGAAUGAAGGCUUUACUUGGACAUGGAUAUGACUGUAGGCAUUUUCCUUUAUAUUCCUUUAUAACUUACUGUUAUGCAUCUACUAGCAGCUGUUAAGGUCACUCCAAAACUGACAUUCUCUCCCCAUGUUUGCUUCCACUAAAACCCAUCUGGUGAUGGAACUGUGCAUACCUUCAUCAAGUAUUUUGAAAACAAAACAAAACAAAAUAAGCAAAAACAAAGUAAACAAAAGACAGAUAUCUGAAUCAGACAGAAUUAGUUUUGGAUCCCAGUCUGUCACCAGUUACUUGUUUAAAAUGGAGCAGGUUACUUAACAACUCUGAGAAAUAUUUACUUAAAACACUCAAGUAUAAUAUGUAUUUUGCAGACAUUUUGUGAUAAGUAAAUGAGGUAUGUGUGCAUGUGUGGGCUUGUGUAUAAAAUAAACUCUCUUGAUUGGCCUAUAUAACUGUCUUUUUCAUUCAGGAUGAAUGGUGGGUAACUUUUUUACUCACUCAAGCUACAUCGUAUUCUAUUCAGAUUAAUCUAAUUUCUUAUCUGAAAUAGUUAAAAUAUGUGAUAUACUUUGACAAAUAUCAAGGUAAUAAACAUUUGAAAAAGGACACAUUUUUCUCUUCCUUAUUUCCUUAAGCCAAUUCAUUCUUCUACUAUAUUUUAUUUUACAUAAACGUUACUUUAAUUUUAUAUAUGCACUAUGCAAUCUAAAAAGUACAAUUGCCUGUGAUGUCCAUAUACUUUACCUUUCUUAAGAGAGGUACAUUCGUUUAAUUUAUUCUUAUAAUCUAGUUGAUAUGAGUAAAUCUUUUAAAUAACUAGGGGCGAAUUUUGCUCCAAUCCACCUAUAUGAAAAUAUUUAUCAUUUUUAAAAAGGCAAUUCUCUCAGCUUAGACAAAAUAAAACCCAUCUUUACAAAAGAUACAAAAAAAAAUUCGUUGGAUGUGGUGGCAUGUGCCUGUGGUCCCAGCUACUCAGAAGGCUGAGUGGAGACGAGAAGAUCACUUGCACCCACAUGGGUUGAGGCUCCAGUGAGCCAAAUUCUUGCCUCUGCACUACAGCCUGGGUGACAGUGAGAUCUGCAGAAAGAUGAGAUGCUCUUCCAAGCAAGUAAUAGAUCUUUGGGUUGCAGAUAUUGGCAGAACAUUGGCAUAUUCUGGGACCUCAAGCAUUUGAUACCCAAGAAAAUAUAAUUUUAAUGUAUGCUUUCUAAUGUCUCUGCGGAUAUCACCAUGAGGUGCUAACUUUUUAUAUCAGAUAUUAUAACUUUAUUAUUGUAUUAUACCAAGUUGACAUUAUUGCUAUAUUUUCUUUUAUUGAUUUCAAUACUAUAAUUAUAUGUUUGCAUCCAGUAAGAAUAAAUAUGGGA
rnacentral:lncRNA from 10 species